ACCAGAACUAUUUGCAUCUAUUUAUGAAUCAUGUGUUCCAGUCAAAAGAGCAGCUGGGCGCUUUAACUGGGUUGGACUUUCAGCUCCAUGUGAAAUCAUUCUACUGUUUAAUGUUUACCAGCUCUGGACUGCACACAUGACCACACAAGACCUCAGCACAGCAAAACUAUUGUGUUGACCCAAACACAAAUUUGGACAUAGGCUUCCAGCACGGCCUGAUAAGCCACGGAGGAUAUUCCCGAACAGAGAGCACCUUCAAAACAUCUGCAAAACACACGAGUGCUCUGUAAUACUGAUUAAAGACUUGAGGUAGGAGGAUAUCAUCUGCAUUUUGUUCUUGGGAACUAACAGCAUUUUCCACUGCUAUUUGGAGUUCAUCUGGCACCUUGCUGACCUUGGUGAACAUUAUCAACGUCUUCAAAAGUAAGGCUAACCUAACUUGUCCAACAGCCAAAAGCUUGUCAUCAAAUCACCAGUUUAAGAGCUUAAAGUGGCUGGUGUUGAUUUCAGGCACUUUCUCUAAAGACAUCUGCAGCCUCACCUGCCCACCUGAUGUUUAGCACAAACUCCACCUGGGUGGAUGCCUGACCACACCUCACUUAAUGCUGAAAUGGGUUUGACACAUCAAGGAUUGAGAUGAUGAACCAACACCCGGUUUAAACCGAGCCCUGACCUCGUCUACAAAUACCAUGUCUUUGAACAUCCUCUCAUAAGGCUCACAUAAAGCAUACUCACCACCAAAUUUGCUCAAGACUGGACAAUGACCUGGGCAACCAACCUGCUACACAACACACAUCAUUCCACUUUCUUCCUAAAUCCUCACAAAAGCAAAAGUGAUAUUUUAAUGACAUACAAUUAGGAAACAGAGGUGUGUAGAGUAGCCUAAACCCAUAGCCAAGUAAAAGCAUGGUUGCUUUGGUGAAAUAAUGCCUUGAACAGAAGUAAAAGUGUCUAGGCAGUGAGUAACUUGUAGAAGACUAUUUCAGUGGCACUUCUUAGUACGUUCAGCAACGGUCAGCAUAGGAAGUGAAGUUAGUCAGGGGCUACUGCUCUUUUAAGGCUCCUUCAUGUUUAGAAUAAAAUGACUAACUUGAACAGUCAGAGGUGACCAAUCACACAUCAGUUCAGAUGCUCUCAGUGAUGUAACAUAAGGGAAGUAAACACAUCAAAAGAAACAGGAACUACAGUUUAAGGCACAGAUCCACUAACAUUACAUGUACCUGAGGAAAAAUAACUACUCACAUCAUAUAAACUGAUAUUAAACAGUUCAUCACUCAUGUAACCUACUAUGUUUGGACACUUUUCAGACUGACUUGCCACAGACUAACCACACCGGGCUGUGCCGCACGUCCAGAUAACUUCUGCCCGGUUUAUGGUUUAAUUUCAUUAGCAUAUCACUUCUAUAAUCUCCGUUAAACGGUUCCACGCUGUGCAACGGUACAGUUACCUCACGUCCUCACAGGCCUGACACACCCUCCACCUCUGUCUGUGUGAACUUCCUGAAGAACAAACGCGCUGCAACACUUCUCUCACCGAGUAACAGACCACACGAGGCUUAAGCUGGCUUCCCAUUUGCCAGCUUCUUCUUCGAAUUCCCCCGUUCCACCUUAAAUGGUGCAGCAGUUCUAUUGUGGUGCAUGAAGUCUGAGGCGCCAGACCGUAACUGCUGCACCGUUUAAGGUGGAACGGGGAAAUUCGAACAAGAAGCUGGCGAAUGAGAAACUGACUUCACCUUCACUGACUUCUUGACAGACACUCGAUAGUAAACACGACAAAACCUGUUCGUGUGUCAAACUUUCUUCACUUCCCACCCACUUUUAUGGGUCUGUCAGCUGAACGUUUCCACCUCAUUUAAAACGCCUGUCAGAAAAAAACGGACAGCGCAGGCGGGCUGAGGACAGAUUUGCUCCAAGCUGUAUAAAUACA